UACGGAGGGGGCUAGCGUUGUUCGGAAUUACUGGGCGUAAAGGGUGCGUAGGCGGCUAUCCAAGUCAGACGUGAAAGGCCUGGGCUCAACCCGGGAACUGCGUUUGAGACUGGGUGGCUGGAGUCCGGGAGAGGUGAGCGGAAUUCCCAGUGUAGAGGUGAAAUUCGUAGAUAUUGGGAAGAACACCGGUGGCGAAGGCGGCUCACUGGACCGGUACUGACGCUGAGGCACGAAAGCGUGGGGAGCAAACAGG
rnacentral:rRNA from 2 species